UGUAGUCACAAUAAACGUUGUUGUUUUUUAAAGCAUUAGGCCAACAUGGCAGUUCUAUAACCGCGUCUUUAUUAUUCAAACCAUGACAACGAAUGUCCCCCAACCUUAACAAAGUGACUUAGUAAUUUUAACCAAAACAACGAUCUUCCCCAUACUUUGUGCCUCAACCUAACCAAACCUGAACCAUAGCUGUUGUCACAUAAUAAAAUUCACAGCAACACCUGUCUACAAUGUGAAAGGGAAAGUGUUACCGCCAUUAUGCCAAAAGCCUUGAAACACAGAUGAGCGAGCCUGUGACCAGGACGUCACAUGGUUUGAACACCUGACCAGCUUGGAAAGUGAGAUGUGACGGUGGGGGAAAAGGAACACAGAUAGACAGGACUACAGUUUGUAUGUUGAGGAAGGAAAACAAUAUAUUCACUCACAGCCUCUUCAGUCCCGUUCAUACACGGCUUCCAGACCAGAGAGUCGUUACUGAACUGCACCUUUACCGACCUCCAGAUGGAGCUGCGACCCUGCAGGAUGACACCAGUGAAGCGAGUCAGUCGCAGAGCGUCGACCUCCAGCCACUGCUUCUUGUCUCUGUACUGAGCACACCAGGCUCCAUCGUAGAUAUCCCCAUCCUCUAUCCCAGACUGCAACACACAGUAAACAUCUGUGUUGUUACCUGGAUGUUGAGCCGGCCACGGUGAGGGCCCAGGCCUCUGCGUUGGUAGGAAGAUGCUCUCAGCUGAGUGUCUUUGACCUUCAGGGACUCCAGACCCAGUGGAGGACAUUCUGACACAAUUAACAAGGAUUUAUUUACCAUUUGAAUAGAAAUGGUAAUAAACAUUUGAAAAGAGUAGCAAGGUGUUGAGACUUUAGCUUCAGUAAAAUAUGUCUUCCAUCAUUGAUGGAGUUGCAAAUGAAGCUAAAGAAGCAAAUUGAGAAGUAAAAAGGAGAAAAGGAAAUAGAGAAAGCACAACUCUCUUGUGGACGGUUUCUUUAAACCUGUCCUGCGUCUUCUGCUGCUCAGCCUCAGACAGACUCUCAUUGUCUGGAGGGUUCAGCUCAGUUCAAACUGCCUCUUCCUGCCAGGAAGCUUUACUGGCUGCUAAAAAGUCUUAGGCCAAGGUAUAGUAGCAGUUUAAAUGAAUGUUAAAUGAAGGUGGCAUUUCCUUUAAAGACCAUUUCCUCCUUUUGCCUUGUAGUCCUGCUGGACCUCAGCUUGUGACUCAAAAUGUUGCUGAGCUGUAAAAAGGAAUGUCUCUUUGUUACUGUUGACCGGUGGAUUCCUGCCAAACUUCUUAAACUACUGAAGCUGAGCCAGAGAGACUUGGCAAACUGACAAUGCUGCCCAGAAGAGAAAGACAUUCAAUUUAUUGUAAAUUAAAGUAGUCCACCACCUA